rnacentral:rRNA from 1 species
CGUAUCUAGGAUUGCAAUGAACCGAUUUUUUUUCCCUUGGUGAGGAACAAUUGGAGGGCAAGUCUGGUGCCAGCAGCCGCGGUAAUUCCAGCUCCAAUAGCAUAUAUUAAUGUUGUUGCAGUUAAAAAGCUCGUAGUUGGAUUUCUGCAGGAGUGCCAAUGUCCGACCACGUUCGUGUGCAGCGGCGCCCCUGCAUCCUUCGGUUACCUCCGCUCGGCAUUCACUUGCCGGCGGUUGGCUCCGAAUAUUUACCUUGAGAAAAUUAGAGUGUUUCAGGCAGGCUUGUCCGGAAUACAUUAGCAUGGAAUAAUAGAAUAGGACUACGGUCUCGUUGUUGGUUUGAGGGACUGGAGUAAUGAUUAAUAGGGAUAGUUGGGGGCAUUAGUAUUUAAUUGUCAGAGGUGAAAUUCUCAGAUUAACUAAAGACUAACUUAUGCGAAAGCAUUUGCCAAGGAUGUUUUCAUUAAUCAAGAACGAAAGUUAGGGGAUCAAAGACGAUCAGAUACCGUCCUAGUCUUAACCAUAAACUAUGCCGACUCG